rnacentral:rRNA from 1 species
UAGGGAAUCUUCGGCAAUGGACGGAAGUCUGACCGAGCAACGCCGCGUGAGUGAAGAAGGUUUUCGGAUCGUAAAGCUCUGUUGUAAGAGAAGAACGAGUGUGAGAGUGGAAAGUUCACACUGUGACGGUAUCUUACCAGAAAGGGACGGCUAACUACGUGCCAGCAGCCGCGGUAAUACGUAGGUCCCGAGCGUUGUCCGGAUUUAUUGGGCGUAAAGCGAGCGCAGGCGGUUAGAUAAGUCUGAAGUUAAAGGCUGUGGCUUAACCAUAGUAGGCUUUGGAAACUGUUUAACUUGAGUGCAAGAGGGGAGAGUGGAAUUCCAUGUGUAGCGGUGAAAUGCGUAGAUAUAUGGAGGAACACCGGUGGCGAAAGCGGCUCUCUGGCUUGUAACUGACGCUGAGGCUCGAAAGCGUGGGGAGCAAACAGGAUUAGAUACCCUGGUAGUCCACGCUGUAAACGAUGAGUGCUAGGUGUUAGACCCUUUCCGGGGUUUAGUGCCGUAGCUAACGCAUUAAGCACUCCGCCUGGGGGGUACGACCGCAAGGUUA